AAUUAAGUUUGUUCUGGGUAUAAGCUUUCAUGCGCAUGCACACUUCUUCAAAUACAAAGUUGAUCUGAAGAAGUGUGCAUGUACAUGAAAGCUUAUACCCAGAAGAAACUUGGUCU